UACAGAGGGGGCUAGCGUUAUUCGGAAUUAUUGGGCGUAAAGGGCGCGUAGGCGGCCUUGCAUGUCUUCCGUGAAAUCCCUCGGCUUAACUGAGGACGUGCGGAAGAAACUGCGAGGCUCGAGUCCGGGAGAGGAGGGUGGAAUUCCCAGUGUAGCGGUGAAAUGCGUAGAUAUCAGGAGGAACACCGGUGGUGUAGACGGCUUUCUGGACCGUAACUGACGC
rnacentral:rRNA from 1 species